AACGCACCUUGCGCUCCCUGGUACUCCGGGGAGCAUGCCCGUUUGAGUGUCGUGUGCUCCUUCGCCGGGAUGUGGUGCUUGCGCGCCAUGUCUGCAGGUGGAUAUGGGAUCGUCGGCCCUCAUGGGUCGACCCUCCUCAAAAGAAUCAGCGAUGCCUAACCUCCUGUCUGUCGGGUCGGUCUUGCGGGUGUUAAACCUCAUCUCGCGUCUGGCUCGGUGGCGGUUCGUGGUGUUUGCUCCCCAAUCGUCCGUUGUGGACAAGCUCACGCUUCUCUGGCUCUGACCUCAAAUCGGGUAGGGUUACCCGCUGAAUUUAA
rnacentral:misc_RNA from 1 species